rnacentral:rRNA from 1 species
UACGAAGGGGGGCUAGCGUUGCUCGGAAUCACUGGGCGUAAAGCGCACGUAGGCGGCUUUCUAAGUCAGGGGUGAAAUCCUGGAGCUCAACUCCAGAACUGCCUUUGAUACUGGGAAGCUCGAGUCCGGAAGAGGUGAGUGGAACUCCGAGUGUAGAGGUGAAAUUCGUAGAUAUUUCGCAAGAACACCAGUGGCGAAGGUGGCUCACUGGCCCGGUACUGACGCUGAGGUGCGAAAGCGUGGGGAGCAAACAGGG